GUCCAGCCGCCGCGGUAAUACGGAGGGGGUUAGCGUUGUUCGGAAUUACUGGGCGUAAAGCGCACGUAGGCGGAUCAGAAAGUUGGGGGUGAAAUCCCGGGGCUCAACCCCGGAACUGCCUCCAAAACUACUGGUCUAGAGUUCGAGAGAGGUGAGUGGAAUUCCGAGUGUAGAGGUGAAAUUCGUAGAUAUUCGGAGGAACACCAGUGGCGAAGGCGGCUCACUGGCUCGAUACUGACGCUGAGGUGCGAAAGUGUGGGUAGCAAACAGGAUUAGAUACCCCUGUAGUCC
rnacentral:rRNA from 1 species